rnacentral:ncRNA from 1 species
CUUAUCAAGAGUGGCUGAGGGAACAGGCCCAGUGAAGCCCGGCAACCUGCGCAGUGCGUAAGGUGCCAAAUCCUGCGGGAAACCGGAAGAUAAG